rnacentral:rRNA from 1 species
UAGUCAUAUGCUUGUCUUAAAGAUUAAGCCAUGCAUGUCUCAGUAUAAGCUUUUUUACUGCAAAACUGCGAAUGGCUCAUUAAAACAGUUAUAGUUUCCUUGACGGCCAAUUAUUACUUGGAUACCUAUGGUAAUUCUAGAGCUAAUACAUGCUUAAAGACCCAACUUCUCGGAAGGGUUGUGCUUAUUAGAUACUGAACCAACCCGGGUCCCCCGGUUUUGAGUUGAUUCAUAGUAUUCCAGCGAAUCGUCCUCGUUAGACGAUGAGUCUUUCAAGUUUCUGACCUAUCAGCUUCCGACGGUAGGGUAUUGGCCUACCGUGGCAUUGACGGGUAACGGAGAAUUAGGGUUCGGUUCCGGAGAGGGAGCCUGAGAAACGGCUACCACAUCUAAGGAAGGCAGCAGGCGCGUAAAUUACCCAAUCCUGACACAGGGAGGUAGUGACAAGAAAUACCAAUAUAAGGCUUAUAUGUCUUGUAAUUGGGAUGAGUAUAAUUUAAACCGCAUUACGAGUAUCAAUU